rnacentral:rRNA from 1 species
UACGUAGGGGGCGAGCGUUGUCCGGAGUUACUGGGAGUAAAGCGCACGCAGGCGGUCUGCUAAGUUUGGAGUGACAGUUGGUGGCUUAACUGCCAAAGUGCUUCGAAAACUGACAGACUUGAGGGCUUCAGAGGGACACGGAAUUCCGGGUGGAGUGGUGAAAUGCGUAGAGAUCCGGAGGAACACCAAAGGCGAAGGCAGUGUCCUGGGGAGUACCUGACGCUCAGGUGCGAAAGCCAGGGGAGCGAACGGG